rnacentral:rRNA from 1 species
GACGAACGCUGGCGGCGGGCUUAACACAUGCAAGUCGAACGGAAAGGCCCUGCUUUUGUGGGGUGCUCGAGUGGCGAACGGGUGAGGAACACGUGAGUAACCUGCCCUUGACUUUGGGAUAACUUCAGGAAACUGGGGCUAAUACCGGAUAGGAGCUCCUGCUGCAGGGUGGGGGUUGGAAAUUUUCGGCGGUUGGGGAUGGACUCGCGGCUUAUCAGCUUGUUGGUUGGGUAGUGGCUUACCAAGGCUUUGACGGGUAGCCGGCCUGAGAGGGUGACCGGCCACAUUGGGACUGAGAUAGGGCCCAGACUCCUACGGGAGGCAGAAGUGGGGAAUAUUGCACAAUGGGAGGACGCCUGAUGAAGCAACGCCGCGUGCGGGAUGACGGCCUUCGGGUUGUAAACCGCUUUCGCCUGUGACGACGCGUGAGUGACGGUAAUGGGUAAAGAAGCACCGGCUAACUACGUG